UACAGAGGGUGCAAGCGUUAAUCGGAAUUACUGGGCGUAAAGAGCACGUAGGUGGUGGUUCAAGUUGGAUGUGAAAGCCCCGGGCUUAACCUGGGAAGGUCAUCCAAGACUGAGCGACUAGAGUAUAGUAGAGGGAAGUGGAAUUUCCGGUGUAGCGGUGAAAUGCGUAGAUAUCGGAAGGAACACCAGUGGCGAAGGCGACUUCCUGGACUAAUACUGACACUGAGGUGCGAAAGCGUGGGGAGCAAACAGG
rnacentral:rRNA from 1 species